UAGGGAAUAUUGCUUAAUGGGCGAAAGCCUGAAGCAGCAACGCCGCGUGCACGACGAAGGUCUUCGGAUCGUAAAGUGCUUUUUUAGAGGAUGAGGAAGGACAGUACUCUAAGAAUAAGCCUCGGCUAACUACGUGCCAGCAGCCGCGGUAAAACGUAGGAGGCGAGCGUUAUCCGGAUUUACUGGGCGUAAAGCGUGUGCAGGUGGUUUGGUAAGUUGGAUGUGAAAGCUCCUGGCUUAACUGGGAGAGGUAGUUCAAUACUGCCAGCCCUGAGAGUGAGAGAGGGCGGUGGAAUUCCGGGUGUAGUGGUGAAAUGCGUAGAUAUACAGACGAACUCCAGAGGCCAAGACGGCCAUCUGGCUCAUUUCUGACACGCAUACACGAUAGCUAGGGUAG
rnacentral:rRNA from 1 species